AAGAAAUAUUGAUGCACUGAAAGGAUUAAAAAAAAAAAGUACAAAAUACACUAGAUACUAGUGAUAUUACACCAAAUAAUUUAAUAGAUAAUUCACUGAACAUGCCUAACUUAAAUAUAUCUACUGUCAAAAAUAAUGAAACAGUUAAUUCCUGGAAAAGGUUAGAAGGAAGGAGAAUAAUUGAUGUGAAAUAUGUUUUUGAAAGUAUUCAAUCAAUAAAACAUUUAAGAUUUGAUUGCACAUUUCGUGACUUAAAAUUCUCAAAGGAAACAAGGAGUGGAUCUUUUGGUUCGUUUUAUUUUGAUUGCAAAAUGUAUGAUGCACAAGAAAUUGUAAAAAGUGAAAAUCCCAAUGGCCAAAUUGUUAAUGUAAAUAUGACCAUGGUUUCUUCUAUAGUAAAUACAGGACAAGGAUACUUAUAACUCGAAGAGUUUUCGGCUACAAUGAAUAUGCCUAAUAUGUCUAACAAAUUAUAUCAAGAUUGUCAUAAUAAUAUUUUUAAACACCUUAAUGAUUUGGUGUGGA